rnacentral:piRNA from 1 species
UGGGUCUUCACGGAUUGCUUUCCAAGCUGC